rnacentral:rRNA from 1 species
GUUAGUGGCGGACGGGUGAGUAACGCGUGAAUAACCUGCCCUGUACCGGGGGACAACAGUUGGAAACGGCUGCUAAUACCGCAUAAGCGCACGGUUCCGCAUGGGACAGUGUGAAAAACUCCGGUGGUACAGGAUGGAUUCGCGUCUGAUUAGCCAGUUGGCGGGGUAACGGCCCACCAAAGCGACGAUCAGUAGCCGGCCUGAGAGGGUGAACGGCCACAUUGGGACUGAGACACGGCCCAAACUCCUACGGGAGGCAGCAUG